rnacentral:rRNA from 1 species
AGUAAUGUAUGGGGAUCUGCCUGAUGGCGGGGGAUAACUACUGGAAACGGUAGCUAAUACCGCAUAAUGUCGCAAGACCAAAGAGGGGGACCUUAGGGCCUCUUGCCAUCGGAUGUGCCCAGAUGGGAUUAGCUAGUAGGUGGGGUAACGGCUCACCUAGGCGACGAUCCCUAGCUGGUCUGAGAGGAUGACCAGCCACACUGGAACUGAGACACGGUCCAG